rnacentral:rRNA from 1 species
GACGAACGCUGGCGGCGUGCUUAACACAUGCAAGUCGAACGGAAAGGCCUGCUUUCCCUUGUGGAUUGCGGGUACUCGGGUGGCGAACGGGUGAGUAACACGUGAGUGAUCUGCCCCCAACUCGGGUAUAAGCCUGGGAAACUGGGUCUAAUUCCCGAUAGGACUGCAGGGUGGUGCCGGCCGUGGAAAACGAUUUUCUACUGGGUGGGGAUGAGCCGGCGGCCUAUCAGCUUGUUGGUGGGGCAAUGGCCUACCAAGGCGGCGACGGGUAGCCGGCCUGAGAGCGGGGACGGCGAAACUGGGACUGGGAUCCGGCCCCGACUGCAACGGGAGGCAGGGGUGGGGGAAAUUGGGCAGUAGGCGGGAGCCUGCUGCGGCGAGGCUGCGUGGGGGAUGACGGCCUUCGGGUGGUAAACUACUUUCGGCCAAGAGGAAGCCACGUAGUUGGAAGGGUGGUGACGGUACUGGUAGAAGAAGCACCGGCUAACUACGUG